GCCCUUGUAGCUCAGCGAGUCAGAGCACGUCCCCGGUACGGACGAGGUCGUGGGUGCGACUCCGACCGAGGGCCCCA
rnacentral:tRNA from 1 species